rnacentral:lncRNA from 10 species
CUUUGCGUCAGAGCUCUGUGUUACAAAAAAAGGUGAAGUCUUACUCAAUUCAACAGUUUUUAUGCAAAGUCCUCACGGGGAAGAGACUGAUGCCCUGCAAUGCCUCAGGACUCUCCAGAAUGUUUUCACCAGCAAAAAGGCCCUCAGCAGAUGCAGCCUCUCGACCUUGAACUUUCUAGCCUCCAAAAUGGACUAUCGGUACUGAAACCCAGCAAGCUGAAAUCAGCAAAACAAGAUGGUCUUGCUAACUUGAGGAAGCUGUAGCAGCUGGAAGCUCCAGAGAGGAGGGGGCUCAGAGUCUGCACAUCAAUGGGGAGACAUCAUUCUGGCUGCAUUAUGAAUGGAUGGUUUGGAGGAAGAAUGUGGAUAGCUAAACAAGAAGGAGAAUAGAAAGAAACUACUCUUAAGACUAUUGCAAUAUCCAGUGUUAUCUCAGGACCAAGGAAUUAAUGGU